rnacentral:rRNA from 1 species
CCUACGGGAGACAGCAGUGGGGAAUAUUGGGCAAUGGGCGCAAGCCUGACCCAGCAAUGCCGCGUGAAGGAAGAAGGCUUUCGGGUGGUAAACGUCUGUGAGAGGGGAAGAGCAGAAGAAGGUACCCGGAAAACAAGCCACGGCUAACUACGGGCCAGCAGCCGCGGUAAUACGUAGGUGGCAAGCGUUGUCCGGAUUUACGGGGGGUAAAGGGCGUGUAGCCGGGAAGGCAAGUCAGAUGUGAAAUCCGGAGGCUCAACCUCCGAAUUGCCUUUGAAACUGUUUUUCUUGAGUACUGGAGAGGCAGGCGGAAUUCCUUGUGUAGCGGUGAAAUGCGUAGAUAUCAGGAGGAACCCCAGUGGCGAAGGCGGUCUGCUGGACGGCAACUGACGGUGAGGCGCGAAAGCGUGGGGAGCAAACAGGAUUAGAUACCCGGGUAGUC